rnacentral:rRNA from 1 species
AGUGAACGCUGGCGGUAGGCCUAACACAUGCCAGUCGAACGGCAGCACAGUAAGAGCUUGCUCUUACGGGUGGCGAGUGGCGGACGGGUGAGGAAUACAUCGGAAUCUACUUUUUCGUGGGGGAUAACGUAGGGAAACUUACGCUAAUACCGCAUACGACCUACGGGUGAAAGCAGGGGAUCUUCGGACCUUGCGCGAUUGAAUGAGCCGAUGUCGGAUUAGCUAGUUGGCGGGGUAAAGGCCCACCAAGGCGACGAUCCGUAGCUGGUCUGAGAGGAUGAUCAGCCACACUGGAACUGAGACACGGUCCAGACUCCUACGGGAGGCAGCAGUGGGGAAUAUUGAACAAUGGGCGCAAGCCUGAUCCAGCCAUACCGCGUGGGUGAAGAAGGCCUUCGGGUUGUAAAGCCCUUUUGUUGGGAAAGAAAAGCAGCAGGUUAAUACCCCGCUGUUCUGACGGUACCCAAAGAAUAAGCACCGGCUAACUUCGUG